rnacentral:rRNA from 1 species
AGAGUUUGAUCAUGGCUCAGAUUGAACGCUGGCGGCAGGCCUAACACAUGCAAGUCGAACGGUAACAGGAAGCAGCUUGCUGCUUUGCUGACGAGUGGCGGACGGGUGAGUAAUGUCUGGGAAACUGCCUGAUGGAGGGGGAUAACUACUGGAAACGGUAGCUAAUACCGCAUAACGUCGCAAGACCAAAGAGGGGGACCUUAGGGCCUCUUGCCAUCGGAUGUGCCCAGAUGGGAUUAGCUAGUAGGUGGGGUAACGGCUCACCUAGGCGACGAUCCCUAGCUGGUCUGAGAGGAUGACCAGCCACACUGGAACUGAGACACGGUCCAGACUCCUACGGGAGGCAGCAGUGGGGAAUAUUGCACAAUGGGCGCAAGCCUGAUGCAGCCAUGCCGCGUGUAUGAAGAAGGCCUUCGGGUUGUAAAGUACUUUCAGCGGGGAGGAAGGGAGUAGAGUUAAUACCUUUGCUCAUUGACGUUACCCGCAGAAGAAGCACCGGCUAACUCCGUGCCAGCAGCCGCGGUAAUACGGAGGGUGCAAGCGUUAAUCGGAAUUACUGGGCGUAAAGCGCACGCAGGCGGUUUGUUAAGUCAGAUGUGAAAUCCCCGGGCUCAACCUGGGAACUGCAUCUGGUACUGGCAAGCUUGAGUCUCGUAGAGGGGGGUAGAAUUCCAGGUGUAGCGGUGAAAAUGCGUAGAGAUCUGGAGGAAUACCGGUGGCGAAGGCGGCCCCCUGGACGAAGACUGACGCUCAGGUGCGAAAGCGUGGGGAAGCAAACAGGAUUAGAUACCCUGGUAGUC